CUGUCUGAGCUCGCUGGUGAAGUACAGGAAGGUGACGGCCACGCACACGGACUGCAGGAGCACGGCGGCCACCAGCACGGCCCCGCAGCUUCUCCUGUAGAGCUCGUACACCUCAGAAGGGUGCCUGUGAGCCAAUAACCUGUGCCAUGAGCUCCUUCCCAGUGCUACCAGUGCUUCUACUCCCUGGUCAUGACAUGAUUACUGCCACAGUACAUGGACAUCAGAAUCAAUGCAUGAGAUUGCCAUGGAGAAGGAUUGGGAGGAUGUUUGGGUCCUUAUUAAAGCUACAUGGACAUAAAUAGCUAUGGAGUCUCUGUUGCAUGCCAAUAUUACCUGACUGGAGAAGGAACAUCAUGAGAAACAGACUGCCGAAAAAUCCUGCUAAUCAGAUAAUCCUUGAACAUGGUGCUGCUCCAGACUUGAAGUCUCCACACCUGCAUGGAUGUAGAGGUCUGUUCUAUGAAUGAAUGCACACUCCUACCUAAACCUGCCCACAGACAUUCAAAUAUAUGUCUGUAUUACAGAUGUAAGUCCUCCCAGUGCACGGUAAUCCUGGCUUGGUGCACUUAGCAAAACUUUGAUUUAUUGGGCUUUAAGUUCUCUGGAUGACAAUCAUCUCCAGAUGGAGUACUGCUGUAGUUGAGCCAAAUAUCUCUUUUGCCUGUAGGACACCUGCUAUUACACUUUCUUAACAUGGAGAAUGUUCAUUUUUCACCCAAAUACUGUUCACUGUUAGGUAAGCAUGUAGCUCUCCAAAAUUCUUGUCAGGUUACUUUGCUGUUUCUGGCAGCCUGGAGCAGAGGUUUGAUGUAUGUUUAAUGUGUAUUUACACUGGCCUGGAGGAUUUGCAGUUCUAGUAAAACAUCUUGUAUUCACCUCAUUCUUUUCUCAGCUUUAUGUCCAUAGAAAGUAUAAUAUCCAACCUGGCUUCCAAAGUUUCUCACCUAAUUUCUGCAUUUUGGUGGGUCUCAGCUGUUACAGCAGAGUGCAAAGGGUCUUGUAAGGGUAGGAGAAAGUGUGCAGGGUGUAAGAGUUGGGUGAUCCUAGACAAGAUAUUUAUCUUCUGAGCAGAAAUGUUCAGGAAGCUUUAGCUGAAGUAAAUACAAAGGCUUUAGGUUGUGUUUGGAUUAAGAUGCUAUUCAUUCACCCAGCAAUACCAAUGCUGACAGGUCUGUGUAGCUGCAGAAGGAUUUGUGCUUUAUCCUGACACAGGCAGCAUCAGCAGAAAGGUCAGCCAGUGGUCACGUCAUGGAGCUGAAUGCUCCCACAGACUGAACCUUUGUGGCCCAAGGAGUGUUUUUAAAGUAUGUGGUAUCUACUUUUGAAAUCCAGUUUUCAAAAGGCAAUAUAUAUAUACAUAUACACACAUACAUAUAUAUAUAUAUAUUUCUGAAGCAUUUCUUCCUUGUCAUGGCAGUUUAACAUUGCUGGACUCAUUUCAGUGCUGUGAGUAUGCAGAGUGGAGGGAACACAGCUCGGGCUGUGCUGCUGGCAGCUGAGGUAAUCUAGUCAUGACUUGCUGUGACUUUCUUGUUAUGAAAUCACUGGUACUGGAUAAACACAGAACAUCUGCCUUCCAUCCCUUCUAACACCUCGUUUUUGGCUGUAAAUAAGUGCUCGCUGUAGCACUGAUCUGAACUGAAGAUUGUAAAUGUGCAGGUGAGUGAAGACACCUCAGAGCUCUGCAGUGAGGCAUCAGGGACAGGAGUGAUCCCUGCAGGAGCCACAGAGGCACAAAUCAUGCUGGAGACUCACCCAGCUAAUGGGAUUACUGGGGAGAAAUGCUGUGCCCUUCAGGAGCUGGCCUUCAGCAAUACAGCGAGGGGUCUAUUGGAGCAAGCACUGAAAUGUCAGGGUGCAACCUUACACUGCAGCAAAGCCAAGGCAAUGGCUCGUGGAUGCUGGGAAGGGACUGUUCUGUCACUCAGCUGCUUGCUCCCACUGCCUCCCAGGAAGGUGUCAGGAAUUCACCUGUCCCUGCCCUGGGCCAGUCCAUAGAGCAGCCCAAGAAAUGCAAACAGCUCCACGUAAACAGGCAAUAAUUUCUUUUGGCAGUUUGCUCCCUGACUGGAGUUUCCCCAAAUGUUUUGUUUUCACAAGUGAUGGGUUUUGGGUUUGAAAUAUGUGUGUCUUUGGGACCUUGCAUUGGAUGUGGGCCUGCCCUCGUUCCAAUUCACAGCAAAUCCCAGGAGAACUGCAGCAGGAAGAGGCUCGUUUCAUGGCUCACAGCCUGGAAAUACUCUUCUCAACAUAGUGUGGCUUUCCAAAACUGGAGGGGAUCAACAGCAUCAGUGCAGUGUUUUGUUAGGUUAGAUGGCCAAAUAAUCUGUGAAGAAGCCAAAUACAGACAUGCUUUCCUUUAUAGUUAGUAAAAAAUGCUUUAAAAAAAUGGUGAAGAGUUGCCAAGAGUUCCUUGAGUUUUAAGUUUAAUGAAUAUUUGCAGUUUAGAAGUUAUUUUCUCUGGCUGGAUUUGUAGAUCAAACAGGAGAAAACCUACCUUGACUUAAAAGUCAAGGAAAAGUAUUUGUAUUUUUACUUAUUUCACCUUUCAGCUCUGAUGGACUUAAAGCUCUGGCAAUGUGUUGGUGUAUUUGUCUAAGCCCAUAAAGAUAAUCUUAGCCCUCAAGGGCUUACAGUCAAAAUAAUUUCUUUGCAGUUCCUUGGGUCCAUAAAAACAGCUGAGUAGCACCGAUGGGAGUAUUGUGAUAGUUCACCUCCACUGUACUUGCAGGGCUGAUGCCUUAAGCUGGGCACAGAUAAUUAAAUCUGUUGCUGCUGUCAGGUUUGUAGGAAUGUCCUUCUGUUUCAAAAGCCUUUUACCAAUUGCACCUGUAAUCACAGAAGAAUCUUUCAGUAAAGUCCCUCAGGCAUGCAGGGAAUGGAGAGGUGCACCCAGCAAGAUGCUCUGUCUGAUCCUACUCCUCCCCAGUCACUCUGCUGACAAAGCUUUCUCACACUUGUGUGAAAUGCUAAUGUGGGAGGGGGAUUCCCUGGCUCCAGUCCCUCCUGACAUUUUCAAUGCAUUUCCCAGGCCUGUUUUUCCAUCCUGAAGUGUAAAAUUAAUUUUGAUGAAAUCUUGAGUGAAUUAAACUGCAACACAGUGAUCUCUUUGCUCAACUCAUAUUUGCUGUCUGCCUUAUUUAUAUUGAGAAGAAGCACUUGGGCAUGCCAAUUGUCCUGUCAUUUAUUUGCCUUGUGCAUCGAGCCUUUGGCUACUAGAAUUAAACUGGAAAAUACAAUUAAAAGCAUUAGCUGUAGCAGACAUACAAAAAAAUAUCAUUACAUGCUUGACAAUGUUCUCCUUCAUAUUGUUAAUCCCUGCAGAUCUACCUCUGCUAUUAGAUUUCAUCCACAGAUUUUAUUUUUCUUGGAAGACUACACUAAUUGGAAUGAGAAUUCCUGGUUGUAUAAGGAAAGAAAAGGAAGAUGUCACCAAGCUGGAAAGCCUCACCUGACUU